rnacentral:lncRNA from 1 species
UCCCUAUUUUAUUUAUAUACGAUAAUUGUUGGAACAAAGUCUAAAUCAAAAAAGUAAUAACCAUAUCCAUCUGAACCCUCUUCUUUGUUCUUGAAUAUUAGGCACAAGAAGGGAACUAGGGGAAGUGGCUUCGUGUGUAAUUCCUUUGUUUCUUGUUCAAGUUCUAUAGCUCUGUAUAUGGUGGCAACAUGUAUGAUAGCAAAAAUUUGAACUUUCUCAUCUAUUUUCAACAUAAAAAUGCUCGAUAAGUGGGCUAUAUUAUUCACUUUUUUAAGGAUGACUGCUUUUAAACAUGUUGAUUCGAAAUCGAGAAGGCGUCAUGCGGAAGCUUAAAGUUUGCAAACGAUAAAGAUGAUAAAUGAGUUAACAAGCACAAAAAAUAAUACUAAAAAUAUAUAGUUGAUAUGUUUGGUCAAACGACCUACAUAUUAAAAAAUUAAUAUUGAAAAAAAUAUAAAAUCUAUUGGAAUAAAAUUUCCCCCUAAACAAAACUUUUAAACGACUACAUUGUGAAUAUUAUUGUGUUAUGAUAUGAGAAGGGGGUGUUCUAUUUAUAAAGUUCCAAAACCUUUCCUCCA